UUGUGAUGCAUGUUACCCAAGACCAGGUUUUGGUCCCAUACCUAACACUUAGCCUUGAGCAUAAGGACAUCAAGAGUUAAACCUUCAAAUCUUAGACCCAAGCUUGAGGUCUAGUCCUACACUCGUACCUAGGGCCAAUCCCUAAGCUCGAGUAUCUUAAAAAAAAAAAAAAAAAAACCAAUCAUGCUUCUCAAACUCAUUAGGUCGUGGAUUUUCUUUUUCACUUUCUUGGGGAUGUCCCUUUUUUACACUCAAAGGAUAUGUCUUAGAAUAGGUUCAACCAUUGGGCCAAGGGGCCCAAAGGCCAAUGUUGGUCUCUCUUGACCUCUCUUCUGAGUUGAGUGAGCCCAACCCUUCUUCUACUUUGUUUUGGACUUCUGUGAGAUUUAAUUAAACUUCAUUUAACCCUUACCUUUUUGGCCACCUCUUCACCAAUUUCAACAGAAGGGCAUAAAACUAAGCCUAUUUGCACAGUCCCUUUGAGCCGCCAAACACCAUCUAGGUCCACUACCCAAUCCACAUAGUGUCUAUUUCUAGUCAGAUUCUUUAAAAUGUUUGAUGCUACCUCAUAACCUAAUUCUCGGCUUAAUGUCCCAUGAUUGUGUACCUUUUGUAGCCUUUUACGUUCAUUUUCAUAUUACACAAAAAAGUAUAAUAGCUUGGUUAGGCGAAAUAUGAAUUUUAAUAUCAACAUGCCAUUCGUUUCAAUUCUAAUCCUUAAUAUUGUCCAUAAACAUCAAAUCUAUCAACUUAGCCCUUUGUCUUAUUACAUCAUAUCAGGUCUCUAAUCAUAACAUGCUAUUGCAAGCUUGUAUAUUUUAAGUUAUUCCUUUGAUUGUCAUAUAACUCAGCACUUGCUUCUUCCCUUUGAAGACAUAAAUAACAUUUUAUUAACAUAUUUGAAUGUGCAAGGAUGAAUAUGAAACACUCUGAAAGAGAAGUUCCUCUUUUGCUAUAAUGUGCACGGAUGCAUUGUUGCCAAGUAUACAUACAUGAUGCAUUGUUGCCAAGUAUGCAUACAUGAUGCAGGAUAAAUACUCAUGCCUUUAACAUUCUUUAUAAAUAUUGAUACUAGCAUGCUGAAAUCACAAAAACAAUGGUUCAUUUAUGUACAAGAAACAUAAUCAAGAACGUCAAGUUGGUUUGUGAGGUGUAUACGAGAAAAUGCCUUGUACCUUUGGGUCCAAAAACAACCUAAUGCUAGCCCUAUCCGAUUAACCUCCUAGGGCCCUCAAACCACCUUUGAAUCACCAUUGUAUCUUCUCCAAAUUGACUCUGAGAUGGUUAAACCACUCAACCAGGUGGUCGAAAUCUAAUCCCAAGCUAUGGACUCCACUCAGAUUGUAGCCCUUUUGGCCUAACCUUGGUGCUCUUUUCCUUUCCUCUUUCGUCUCAAAUUUUAUCCAUCUCUCAAGGCUCUCAAAUGGUCUCAACGCUUCGAAAUUUUCUCCUAAGUCGAGUCUUGUAAUAUAUAUAUAUAUAUAUAUAUAUAGCUUUGUGCCUCAUCUAUACAAUUAAUCAAAGGGGAUGGGCAUCACUUCAAAUUAUCCAACCAAGUCACUUCCCUAAUCCAUGUCAUUUCUCCUAUCUAUUCUAGCAAUAAAUGGUUUGUAAAUGCAUGUGAUAAUAGCUUGCAUUUGAAGAUAUGAAGUUGACCUAUGGGAGACAAUACUUUUUAAGACCAACAUCCUCCAAACCACCCCCCUCAUUCGACCAUUCCACCCUUGCCUUUUUUGACCAAGCUUAGGUCUACAUCAAAUGUCAUUUUAUGUCAUGUAUAUGUAAUGGCUUUUAGAGACAAAAUUGAUGUGUACUCACACUUGCAUCAGUUCGGCCAAGUCAAGCCAUGCCUUGGCCAUUUUAAACUUGUCUCCACACUUAGGUAUAAAUUUUGCUUAUAUGUCCUCUAUUUAUGGUCCAUUAGAACCCCUUCAAAUUGGUCCCAAGGCUACCUUACAUUAGAACUUUGUGUUACAAAUAGGAGCACUAGGAUCACUCUAAUCACAACCAAUUCACAACCACACACACAUCUGAACCAAUCCCAACAACAGAAAUAUAAAUCAGUAAUGAAAACGGUAAUGGAAAUAGGGUAAGAGACGUGCAAACCAAAUAAAAGACAGAGCGAUUUAUCCUGGUUUAGAUUACAAUUGCAAUCCUACAUCCAGCCUUUAGUUUCUCGAGAGCAAUCCACUAGAUCUUGAAGAAAUCAGUACAAGAAACCCUCUCACACGAGUACAAUACAACUGAGAUUAUGUUGUUUUAUAGAAAACAGAAAGGAUACAAGAAGGAAUAUGAGCAACUCAUAAAUCUAUUUUUAUUGAAGAUAACUCAAGCUUAAAUACAUUUGAAAGAUGCUAGAAUAGAGGAUCAUGGCCCAGAAUUCUAGUCAGCACAUCUAACAACAUAGUCCACUACUUAAUAACAACUUAGCAAAAUAAUAGGAACUGACAACCCACUAACAGUAGAAAAACAGCUAAUUGAAACAAACUUUGACAGAUUCCUAAGGCACGUUUUCAACACUCCUCCUUGCCUUUGAAGCUGCAAACUCCAAGUUUAUUCCUCAGAAACUCGAACCUGCUAAGUGAAAAAGACUUAGCAAAAAUAUCAGCAGCUUGGUCCUCUGUUUUGCAAUAAACCAGACUUAUAUCUCCAUUUUCCUGCACUUCUCUCAAAUAAAACAAUUUAACAUUGAAAUGCUUUGUCUUUCCAUGGAACACAGGAUUAUGUGAGAUUGAAAUUGCUGCUUGAUUGUCCACCAAGAUUUUUGUGGCUUGGUCUUGUUCCAAACGUAGAUCUGCUAGGAUAUUCCUCAACCAAACAGCUUGAUUGACAGCUGCUGUUGCUGCAAUGAACUCAGCUUCAGCUGUUGAUUGAGCUAUUAUUUCCUGCUUCUUGGAACACCAAGAGAAAACACCUGAACCCAUACUGAAACAGUACCCUGAAGUACUCUUCAUACCAUCCAAAGAACCUGCCCAAUCACUGUCAGAAUAACCGAAUAAUUUGAAAUUUUGUUCCUUGUAAUACUUCACUCCAUAAUUGACAGUUCCUUUGAUGUAUCUUACAACUCCUUUUGUUGCCUUCAAGUGCAAUUCACUUGCACAAUGCAUGAAUCUUGACAGAAUACUUACUGCAAAUAGGAUGUGAGGCCUUGUUGCUGAAAGGUACAUUAAACACCCUAUUAAUCCUCUAAAAUGAGCUUCAUCAACUUUAUCAGCUCCAUCCUCCUUGUUGAACUUCUCUUUCUGAUUCAUAGAAGUGUUCAUUGCUUUGCAGUCAUCAAGGUGGAAUUUGUUAAGGAUCUCCUUUGCGUACUUCUUUUGACAAAUAAAAAUUUCAUGCUUCCUUUGAGUGAUCUCCAUUCCCAAGAAAUAGGUCAUAAGACCAAGAUCUGUCAUUUCAAAAACAUUCAUCUUUUCUUGCUUGAAUUCAUCAAUAAGUGCUGCAUUACUUCCUGUCACCAGAAGAUCAUCAACAUACAGAGAAAUAAUUAGGAUUUCUGCACCAGAAUGCUUAACAUAGAGUGUAGCUUCUGAUAGGCUUUUUUGAAAACCCAAACUCAACAGAUGAUCAUUAAUUCUGCUGUACCAGACCCUUGGAGCUUGCUUUAAGUCGUAGAGAGCUCUUUUUAGCAAGUAAACUUUGUCUUCUUGGCCUUUGAUUACAAAGCCUUCUGGCUGAUCAACAUAAAUCUCCUCCUACAAAAAGCCAUUGAGAAAAGCUGACUUGACAUCCAUGUGAAACACCUGCCAUCCCUUUUGUGCUGUAAUGGCAAGUAGCAAUGUGAUUGUAUCAAGUCUGGCAAAGGAGCAAAAGUGUUAGAAUAGUCAAUCCCAAAUAUUUGUGCAUAACCUUUCACCACAAGCCUUGCUUUGUGCUUGUUUACAGAACCAUCAGGAUUAAAUUUUGUUCUGAACACCCAUUUGACACCUAUGACAUUUCUAUCAUGAGGUUUUCGAACCAAUUCCCAGGUCUGAUUUUUUUCAAUCAUGAACAGCUCUUCUUGCAUUGUAGCCAUCCAUUUUUGGUCCAUCAUAGCUUCCUUAAAGCUUGCAGGUUCACACACUGCUACAUUGCUUCUUUGAUAGAUGUCAGAGAGUAAUCUGAUGCCUCUAACAGGUGGAUCAUCUAUUGUCUCGUUAAGUACCAACAAAGGAUUUUGAUUUUUCUUUGAGUCGUUCCAACUCCAUUUUUCGUCCUCCAUGAAGUACAUAUCUCUACUUAUUAGGAUUUUCUCUGUCUGAGGCUGAAAAAUCCUAUAAGCUUUAGAGAUGGUGCCAAUAAAUAUUCCAGGUUAUGCUCUCUUGUCAAGUUUAUCACGCUUAACCUACAUGUGAGUAGCAUAAACAACCAAAUAUCUUAAAAAAAUCCAAAGGAGGUUUGAAACCAAACCAAGCUUCAAACGGUGUUUGAUUUUGCAUAGCUCUUGUAGGCAGCCUAUUUUGAAUGAACACAACAGUAUUUGCUGCUUCAGCCCAAAAUUUCUUUGGUAAGCCUUUUUGAUGCAGCAUACAUGGAGCCAUCUCCAUGAUUGAUCUAUUUUUCCUUUCACUCACUCCAUUUUGCUGAGGAGUGUAAGGAGCAGUGAGCUGAUGUUCUAUUCCAGCCUUUGCACAAAAUUGUUGAAACUGAUCUGAGACAUAUUCCUUCCCAUUAUCAGACCUUAGACCUUGAAUAUUGCAGCGACUUUGGUUUUUAACAUGUGCUUUGAAUUUCCAGAACACCUUUGCAACCUCUGAUUUGUAUCUAAGAAAAUAAAUUCAGCACAUUCUGGUUAAAUCAUCUAUAAAAAUGAUAUAAUAGAGAUUUCCUUUUAGUGAUGGAGUUCUUUGUGGUCCAGCAAGGUCAGUGUGAACUAGCUGGAGCUUUUGUGCGGCCCUCUAGAUACCUUCAGGGAAUGGUUGCCUUGUUUGCUUCCCCAACUGACAUGCUUCACAGUCAGUUAAUUUUGCUGUUAAGGUAGGUACUCCACGAACAAGUUGAUUUCUUAGCAUGUAGUUCAUUCCCAAAUGAUGGAAAUGACCUAACCUCCUGUGCCAAAGAUCAGUUAAACUUGCUGUAACUGGGAAGGCAGCUUGCUCCUCCUUCAUUGGAUCAAAUGAAAAACUCUUGCUCCUUAUUUUGACCUUGAACAUUUCUUGGCCUGUUGGAUCCUUGAUUAUGCAGCAUUUGUCUUCAAAAAUAACCUUGAAUCCUUUCUCAAGUAACUGUCCAACACUGCGUAAGUUUUGAUUAAUAUCAGGUACAUAUAGAACAUCAGUAAGAGUUUUUGUACCUGAGUAGCUUGUCAUAUGGUUGGUGCAGCCACUAUCAAUUAACCAGGAUUCACAUGAAUUGCUGCUGGAAAAACAGGCCUCCUCCAGCAUUUGAAAUAAGGAUGAGAUUUGCCACCACAAUGUUUACAAGGUGGAUAUCUUUCCUUUUUGCUACUACUGUUAUUGUUAUUAGAAGUAGCAUCUCCACUUGCAAUUAUGUCCUUCAUGCUUUUCUUUUUCUUUCCCUCGCCAUGAGAUUGGUGCUUUGACUGCAGAACUCCUUCAACUGUACCUUCUUGUCUUAUAAGCCUUCUCUGUUCAGUGGCGUGCAAAGCAUGAAUUACUUCUGCCAAAGUAAUACUCGACAGAUCCUUAGUAUUUUCUAAAGCAGAAAUUGAGGCUUCAAAUCUCUCAGGUACAGUUACAAGAAGCUUUUGAACAAUUCUAGAAUUAGGAAGUUCAUGUUAGUGUAGGUGCUCUAGACCCAAUCAGAUUGGGCAUGUUGUACACUGACAAUUGUAAUCAUAUUUGUUAUUUGAAUAAAGAGUUGUUCAAAUUCACAAGAAGUCAUUGUAUUAGUUUCUUGUUAUUAUUGUAAUAACCAAAUGAAACUAGAUAGAAGUCCAUAUGAUGUAUACUGUGAUUAAUCUAUAAAGAUGUGAGAUGAUGCAUCACAGUUUCUAGACAUCAUUAAACGUCCCAAGUCGUAGCAAUGUCAAGAAUGGACAUUGACAAUUGCGGUAAGACUUGUAUGUGCUAUGUAUUUGCUAUGUGAUAGCAAUGGGGGUCUCACACCCAUAGGCAUGGGGAUGCCUAGACAAGUACAUAGGUGACCAAUGUUGGAGAACAUGUCACUGGACAUGACUCGCCAUGAGAAUCCAUUUUGGUUAUAUAUUGAUGGUAUUCUCAUACGAGAUGGGUGUAACUAAUUCUUGGACCUGAGGUUGUCACAGUCAUCUCAUAAGAAGACCAGUAUGCUUUGACAUCGUUUCGAUGGGCCUAGACAAAGGCUGCACGUGGGCGAUCGUUGGGUAUAUCAUGAGGCUUAUGGAGAUGGGUGCAUAGCCAAGAUGGGACUCGUCUAUCCCUUGAUAGAGGAUGAUGUAUCUAAGGCGCUUUCGGUGGAUAUUCACUUUAAAUCCAUGGCCAUGGUGAAAGAGAUCAAUAAUGAGUUAUUAAUUCACUUUCUAUUAAGUGAAGAUAUCCGAAAGACCGAAGAAAACUCAUGUGAUCAUUAUCAAGCAACACAUCGCCAUACUUGAGAUCACAUAAGAUAUAUUGACGAGAGGAUCGUAUUACACGGUAACCAUGCUCGUGAAAGGUUCUUUGCGGAUUAUGAAUCUUUCUGAAUAAUUGGAUAGGCAUGAUGCCUUGCUAGGGCCAAUCUUGUCUUAUGUGUUUGUACCGACACAUUGCCAAUAUAUUCGGAAGCCUAAUGAGUCAUACGCAAUAGGCUCGGUCCCUGGCUUAAACCAAGAGAGUGGACGUAUGAUUAAGUGGGACACUUCGGCAAGAAGUUAUGCCGUCGUAGGUUCUCACGGAAAAAGAACAAAUAGACGUAAUGACGUCGAUAUGAUGAGAAGUCGUCAUAAUAGAAAGAGUUUCCUAAAAUGGCAAUUGAUUAAAUUAGGAAGGAGUUUUUAAUUUAAUAAUUUUCUAUUUGUUGGAGUGGCAAAUAGGAAAUAAAAUAUUUUUGGGCUUAAGUUAAUAUUUGGACUAAAUUAGAUUUGGGCCAAAUAUUAAAUUAAAUAUUAUAUUUGGACUAAAUUGGAUUUGGGCCAAAUAUUAAAAUAAAUAUUAUAUUUGGACUAAAUUAGAUUUGGGCCAAAUAUUAAAUAUUAUAUUUGGACCAAAUUAGAUUUGGGCUAAAUAUUAAAUAUUAUAUUUAGGCUUGAAUUAGAUUUGGGUCAAAAUAUUUUAUUUAAACCUAUAAAAGGAUUUGGGCCAUUUAAUUAUAUUUCUAGUUGGACUAGAAUAAGCCCACUUAAUAUUCUAAUUAAAUUAGAAUUAAUGGGCCAGCCCAAUCCAUUAGGGUUUUAGAAACCCUAGGAUAUUUCAUUAUAAAUAUCCUUUUAUAGGUUGCCCAUAAUCGAAGUGAUUUUUGGUGUCGUUUUUCAAGAGUUGAAAAACGUAUUGCCGUUCACUCUUCCCGUUUCUUUUGGCAUCAAUUUGAAAUGUGGGCGUUCUUUUACCGUCCAUACACAAGCCGCGCAAAAGAGAAGGAGCUAGCACUCCUAUUCCGUUCUCUUUGCCAACGGACGCGUGCCGCGUAUCACGAGUUAGAGGCCGGACGCUUGGACGGCUUGAAUUCGCGAACGACUCAAUAAUCUAAAGGUUAGAUUUAUUUAUUUGUUUGUGAAUAAUUUAAUUUCGACGUUGAUCCAAUCGCCGGGAUCGGGGUAAGGUUCAAAAAUUUUGAACUAUGCUGCUUGCCCCGUAGCGAUCUUGCUUUACUUUCAGUUCAGUGCCAAGUAAUCUUACUUAAUUUACAAUUUUGAGAACCUGGUCAGAAUAUUCUUUGAUAGUUUUUGACUCCUUCAUCUUAAGUACUUCAAAUUCUCUGAUAAGAUUCAGCACUUUCAUACUUUUAAUCCUCUGAUUACCUUCAUAUUCAUCUCGAAGGUAAUUCCAAAUGGCAUUUGCUGAUUCCAGAGUCAUAAUUUUGGUGAAAAUUGAGGUUGAAACUGCAGCAAAAAGAAUGGCCUUUGCCUUUAUCUUCUUUGCUUUUUUAUCUUUGUGGUUUCUGAGUUGAGUCAUUGUGAGGUCAUCUGGUAGAGCUGGAACAUAAAAAUCUGCAUCUUCCACAGCAUCCCAAAUGUCCAAGGCUUCAAGAUAGGCUUCCAUACGCACUGCCCAGAUUUGAUAAUUCUCCCCAUUGAAGGUUGGCAGAGCAAUUUGAGCGAAACCUGCCUCAGCAUUCAUGGCUUGAAGGUUUGAUUUCUGUAAAGAUAGGGUCAGUGUUUAGGUGCUCUCAAAAACUCACUAAGACACUCAUGGGUCCCUCAAGAAGAAAGCUCUGAUACCAAUUGUUGUUUUACAGAAAAAGAAAAGGAUAAAAGAAGGAAUAUGAGCAACUCAGAAAUCUAUUUUAUUGAAGAUAACUUAGGCUUAAAUACAUUUGAAAGAUGCUAGAAUAGAGGAUCAUGGCCCAUAAUUCUAGUCAGCACAACUAACAACAUAGUCCACUACUUAAUAACAACUUAGUGAAAUAAUAGGAACUGACAACCCACUAACAGUAAAAAAAACAGCUAGUUGAAACAAACUUUGACAGAUUCCUAAGGCACGUUUUCAACAGAUUACAAAGCACUACUUCUCUAGACUUUUCUCUCAAUUCUCACAUCACUCUAUUUCAGAAAGUGAAUGAUGAUUGCGAUUGCCCCCUUAUGCCUCCUAUUUAUAGACAAUUAGGGCGGAAAAUACAAGGACUAUUUAAAAGACAACACAAUCUCUAAAAUACCCCUUAUACUUCUGCAUAAGUUAAUUUCAGCCGCUUGAUUCACUUGAAAGAUCUCCUGAUUUCUUCUAAAUCUUCUAGGUUAUACUCAAUGCAAAACACAACAAAUCUCCAACAUUUUGCAUUAGUAGUAGCUUGAACCCGAUUCCAUCACCUGCUCUUCAUCAGUACCUGCAAAGAAACUGAUCAUUUACAAAUACAAACCUGUAAAAGCCUUAAACAAUGGUGUAAUUUUGAUAUAGGGACUGCCUUAGUGAACAUAUCAGCUGCAUUUUAUUCACCUGUAACCUUAAUUGGAUAUAUUUCCUUUCUUUCAAGUAUUUCUCUGAUAAAAUGGUACCUUACAUCAAUGUGUGUUAGGAUUUGCAUUAGUUAGCAUCAAUUCUCGGUAGAGGAUUUUAAAUGUAGUUAGAAAUAAGUUUGUAUUUUAUGUUUUAUGAGUUUAAAAUGUGAUGGAACUAACUAACUUAGAGUUAGUACUGGUAGUCCUUUUAUUUCUUUCUAUUUACUUUUAAGUCCUUGAUUUGUAACCGCCUCUAUCUCUUAUAAAUAGAGGCGGAUAGGCUCUCGGGAGGUAGAUUUCAUCAUUCAUUUCUUUUGGUUUCUAUCUUGCACGGGUUCUAGAGAAUUGAGAGUGAGCAAAGGCUCGGUUCUUGUAUUCUCGAGAGGUAAGGCUAUUGAUUCAUAGCUAGAUGUGUGUGAGAGGGAGUGAUGUAAUCUUGAUCACUUUCUAGUGGAUUUCUCAAAGGCUUCGGCAUUCUGGAUGUAGGGCAUUUUCAUGCCUGAAUUAGGAUAAGUUUCUUGUCUCAUUUAUCUUUCCGUUAUUGCUUUGUUUUUCUCUAACUUGUGUUAUCCUAUUUCUGGUUCUAUCGGGUGAGUAUUGGUUGUGAGAGAGUGGGGUUUCUUGUGUGGUAUUCGAUCCUAGAUUCAACAAUGUGUUUAGUUCUCUCAUGGUGGGCUUGGUUUUUGGCCAAGUGUUGGGAUAGCCUUAACAUUUUUCCCUAAUAGUUCACUUACUAUUCCUUUCAACCAUCAACCUUCUUUUAUAGCUUUUGUGACAGUUGUAUACUCGGCCUCGAUGGUUGAAAGAGUCACUAUAGAUUGUAAAUUUGUUUUCCAGCUAAUUGUUGCAUUCCAUAGCUUGAAAACAUAUCCUGUGGUUGACAUUCUUUCGUCUAAAUUUGUUGCAUAGUCAGUAUCAGUGAAACCUAGAAUGUUAGGCUCAUCUUCUACACUAGCUCCACUGUAAACUAAAACCAUGUUCAUUGAUCCUUUAAGGUAUCUAAAGAUCCACUUAACAACAACCCAAUGUUCUUUUCCCGGAUUAACCAUGAACCUACUUGUAACACUUAUAGCAUGUGCUAAAUCCAGCCUAGUGCACACCAUGCAAUACAUAAGGCUUCCUACAGUACUAGAAUAGUGAAUCUUGUUCAUUGCUCUAAUGCUUUCUUCAUCACUUGGUGAUUGCAUAUGAGAUAAUUUGAAAUGCUGGGCAAACGGAACAUUGACUUCCUUUGCAUCAAGCAUAUGGAAUUUCCUAAUCAAAUUCUCUAGAUCAACCUUUUGGGAUAGCUGAAUCAACCUUUUCUGCCUAGUCCUUAAUAUUUCAAUCCCUAAAAUCUUUCUAGCCUCUCCUAACUCCUUCAUUUCAAAAGCUGAUUUUAGUUUAAGCUUUAACUUAUGAAUUUCCUCAUCCGAUUGACUUGCAAUUAGCAUGUCAUUAACAUAAAGGAGGAGAGAAAAUGAAAUUUUAGCUGAAAUAUGUUUUAGAGACACAACAAUUGAAAUUACUUCUCUUGAAUCCUUGGUUGAUCAUGAAUGUGUCAAACUUCCUAUACCACUGCCUAGGGGACUGUUUAAGUCCAUAUAAGGACUUUUUCAGCAAACACACUUGCUCUUUCUUAGCCCUAAUAUCAAAUCCUUUUGGUUGCUCCAUUAGAAUGUCCUCUUCUAAUUCACCAUGUAGGAAUGCAGUGGUCACAUCCAUCUGCUCUAGGCUUAAGUCUAAAUGGGCCAUCAUAGCAAGCAAAAUUCUAAUAGAUGUAUGCCUCACUAUUGGUGAGAAUACCUCAAUAAAAUACACCCCAACAACUUGGGUAAAUCCUCUUGCUACUAACCUAGCUUUAUACCUAGGUUUUUUAUCCUUACCUGCCCCUUCUUUGAUUUUAAAUAGUCACUUACAGCCUACCAUCCUCUUACCUAAAGGUCUAUCAACCAAGAUCCAAGUCUUAUUUUUCUUAAGGGAUUCCAUUUCAGAUUCCAUGGCAGCAAGCCAUUUAUUGGAAUCUUUUGACCUAACAGCCUCUUCAUAUGAGAGAGGCUCAUCUCCAGCUAUCUCCACACCUCUUGACAGUGCAUAGGAUACCAAAUCCAAAAAACCAUACCUUAUAGGAGGUUUAAGCACUGUCUUUGUCUAUCUAUUGCUACAUUAUACCUUCCUAGGCUAGGGUCACUAUCUAAACUAGAGGAACGAUCACUGACACCUUGCUGGUCACUGCCUAAACUGGUGGAAUCAGCAGCAUCACUGGAACCAGCAGCAUCACUGUGCUGGUCUGCUGCCUGAUCCUUAUACCUAUCAGUAUUAGAGGCAGCUUCUUGGAUUUCAUCUUAGAUUUUCCUUUUACAUCCUCUAUUUUAUCAUCUUUUAUGAAAGAAUUCUCAUUAAAAGUUACAUCGCUACUCACUAUCGUUCUUGGCAGACCUUAUUCUAGGGUCCAUAACUUGUAUCCCUUCACCCCUGAUGGAUGACCAAUAAAUAGGCAUCUUUUGGCUCUAGGCUGUAAUUUGCCUUGCUUAACAUGGGCAUAAGCAAUACAUCCAAAUACCCUUAGGUGAUCUAAGCUGGGCUUAUGGCCAUUCCACAUUUCAUAGGGUGUUUUAAACCCUAUUGCAGUCGAAGGUGACCUAUUAAUUACAUAUGCAGCUGUUGUCACAGCUUCUCCCCAAAAUGACUUUGACAACCUAGCAUGGAUUAACAUGCAUCUCACCCUUUCAAGUAGGGUUCUAUUCAUUCUCUCAGCUAGGCCAUUUUGUUUUGGGUUUCCAGGGACUGUUAGGUGCCCAAGGAUGCCAUUUUCUUUACACAUUAGGCCAAAACCUUUAUUACAAAACUCAAGACCAUUAUCCAUCCUAAUUACCUUGGUUUUCAGGUUCUAAAAGCCUCAAAAGUGUGAUCUUUUGACUUUAAAACAUAGACCCAAACCAUUCUAGAGUAAUCAUUUAUGAUUGAUAGAAAGUAUCCUGCCCCUCCAUGUGUUAAGAGUCUGACUAUGCUCCCCCUAGAUUUGAAUGAAUAUACUCUAAGGGGACUUUAGAGGUGUGGAUUGCUUUCUUAGGGAAUUUUACCUUUAUAGACUUACCAAAAAUGCAAGAUCACAUUGAUCUAAUUCUGUUACACUUUUAGCACCUAGGAUUCCUUGUUUGGACAGUUCUCUAAGGCCUUGCUCACUUAUGUGAGCCAUUCUAUAAUGCCACAAUUUUGUAUGUUCACAGGUUCUAUUUUCACCUAUUGCUGCACAUAAUGUGGAUGCUUGCAGCACAUAAAUACCAUUGUGUAGGACAACUUUCAUGCAAAUAAGCAAUCCUUUAGCUACCUUUAGAACUACACCAUCCCCUCUAUAGGAAUAGCCACUUUUAUGCAUUCUCCUAUGGAAAUCAAGUUCCUUUUCAAUUCUGGAACAUACCUAACAGAAGUUAGAGUUUUAAUCAAUCUAUCAUGCAUUUUUAGUUUUAUGUCUCCUACUCCCUUAAUGAUGCACUCAUGGUUGUUUCCUAAAAUCACUUUACCACCUCCAAUAUCUCUAUAGUUUAGGAACCAUUCUCUAUGGGGUGUCAUGUGGAAUGAACAACCUGAGUCUAGCACCCACACCUCCUUAUCUUUCUUACGAGAUGCAACCAACGCAUCUGCACUAUCAUAGUCAUACUCACAUAGGGAGGAUGAAAUUUCAGGAUUUAACUUUUCUUGGAAUUCCUUCUUUCUCCUAGGGAAAUUCUUCUUUAUGUGCCUUUCUUCAUGGUAGUGGUAGCACUUAAUGGCUUUCUUGCCACUCUUGGAUUUUGACCGAGACUUCCCCCUAUUUCUUAAUUCUCUUCUUUCUGUCCUACUUCUAACAGUAAGGAUAUCUCUGGCUGAAACCUUUCCCUCUAUUUUCUGUUGUAAUUCCUUAGAGUUUAAUGCACCAAUUACAUCCUCUACGGUCAGUGUGUCUCUUACCAUGUUUUAGAAUAUCCACAAAAGUUUCAUAUGACUUAGGCAAAGAAUGCAAUAGAACUAGGGCUUUAUCUUCAUCAUCAUAUGAUACAUCUAUGUUGUCUAAAUCAAGACAUAGUUUAUUAAAGUUAUCUAUAUGGCUUUGAAGUUUCUGCCCUUCUUGCAUCUUAAAGGUAAACAACUUUAGCCUUCAAGAACAACCUACUUGAAAGAGAUUUAGUCAUAUGUAAGCUUUCUAAUUUUAGCCACAAUUUUGCCGCGGUUUCCAUUUUGGAAACCUCUCUCAACACUUUAUCCCCUAAACUCAAGAUUAGGGUAUUAUAGGCUUUCGACAUUUUAGACUCUCCAUUGAGAGCUUCUUCCAAUCCUAAGUUACCCAAUAAGGCCCUCAUUUUCAUUCUCUAGAGGCCAAAAUCAUUUAAACCAUCGAAUUUCUCGAUGUCAUACCUAGCGGUAGAGGCUGUGGAAGCCAUAGCAGUGGGUAUAUCUAUUGGUUUCUAAGGUUCUUGGUGUUUCUUGAUUGAGUUUUCCCUGCUCUGAUACCAAUUUGUUACAAUUAGGAGUACUAGGAUCACUCUAAUCACAACCUAUUCACAACCACACACACACCCGAACCAAUCCCAAUAAUAGAAAUAUAAUUCAGUAAUGAAAACAGUAAUGGAAAUGGGGUUAGAGACAUGCAAACCAAACAAGAGAUAAGAGCGAUUUAUCCUGGUUCAGAUUACAGUUGCAAUCCUACAUCCAGCCUUUAGUUUCCCAAGAGCAAUCCACUAAGUCUUGAAGAAAUCAGUACAAGAAAUCCUCUCACACGAAUACAGUACAACUGAGAUUACAAAGCACUACUUCUCUAGACUUUUCUCUCAAUUCUCACAGCACUCGAUUUCAGAAAGUGGAUGAUGAUUGCAACUGCCCCCUUAUGCCUCCUAUUUAUAGACAAUUAGGGCUGAAAAUAUAAGGACUAUUUAAAAGACAACACAAUCUCUAAAAUACCCCUUAUUACAUAAGUUAGACUCUCUCUAACUUAGUUAAUUUCAGCCACUUGAUUCACUGGAGAGAUCUGAUUUCUUCUAAAUCUUCUAGGUUAUACUCAAUGCAAAACACAACACUUACCUUGUCUUGUUGAAGAUGUGUGUUUGACUUGGGGUAUUACAUUGUUGCUUGCCAAAAAUGAUGGCUUCUCAUCUCCAGAGUACUUUUCUAUGAUUUUGUAAUGUCUGGUGAAAGGAACAUGUGUUUACAGAUAUUCUCAAUCUCAUGAAUAUAGUGUUGAAGAGUUCUGGCUAGUUAUAUGAAUCAACUGUACUUUCCCUCUCUUCCAGUAGCUGAAUAUUGUUAUUUCAAUUUUUAACCGUUUCCAUAUUACUGAGUUUAAUUCCUUUGAAAGAUUACUGCUUGUACAACCUUGAAUUUAAUAAACCUUUAAAUGGGUGAAUUGGUUCUGCAUCUACUUGCCUCACUUAUCUCAGUUUUUUGCCUUUUCUAACUUUUUCUUAUACCCAAUAUUUGAGUCAGAAUAAUUGAAGACAUUUAGAUUGUCUUUUAUCUUGUUGGGUUGUGUCAUGGCGACUUUUUUUGAAUUCUUGGAUUCCCUGGGCAUCAUGCGUCAGGAUUGGCUUUACGGUGUGCUUACACUAUCCUUUUACUGGAGAUGAUUUAAGUAGCUAUUAUCUAUCUAUUGAUUUAUUAUU